UUUUCUAGUAUUUGGCGGUCCCGUGUGCCUCCAAAAAUCAAAGUCUUCCUCUGGCAAGCCUUCAGAGGGCGUCUCCCUGCUGCCGAUCAAAUCCACAAGAGGAAUGGCCCGGGCUCGGAAUUUUGUGCUCUUUGUGGUGCUUUGGAAAACACGAAUCAUAUUUUCUUCCACUGUGUGCUUGCUAAGCUUGUUUGGAGCUGCGUCAAAUCCUGGCUCCAGGUUACUUGGGAUCCCUCCUCCUUUAAUGACCUGAGAGGUCUUGCCAAUUCUUUGGCUGGCGUGACAAAGAGGGUUUUCUGGGUUGGCCUGGGUGCCAUUUGUUGGUCGCUAUGGACUACUACAAACAAAUUUACGAUUGAACAUGUUUUUCCUACUAAACAUGCUGACUGUUUAUUUAAAUCAUGUAUCUUCUUGCAGUAG
rnacentral:rRNA from 1 species